UUUCCAUUUUACAUUGUGUCACUGUCAUAAUCAAGAAGAUGAUCAUAUAUUGACUUUCCUAAGUUAAAAACCUCAAGUAGUAUAAUAUGGCUGGGGAUGGCUAGGCUUCCAUCUUCAUUGUAGCGGAAGGCGUUGAGGAAAGUGGUAACAAGAUGGAGAGAGUUACUAAGCUGCCGGUAAUCCUGACCAUGUUUCUGGUGGUCCUUGCCUGGGAUGUUGAAGGAGGAAGGACACUUAAAGUUGACCACCCACAAAACUACUUUGGAAGCUUUGGUGGAACUGGUUCAGUCAUCCCAAGCCCUUUUGGUCCUACCAUUGCCCUUGGUCCAUCUGGGUUUUGCUCCUUUCCUGGGGUCGGUUGUGUAAGGGUCCGUCCCACUCUUCCUGGUGUUGGCGUUGGCUCACCACCAUGAGGAAGGGCAAGGUUAGGAAGAGGUUCUUUUGGGUUGUGGUAGUUUUUUUAAUUAUAUCCAAGUUUGCCAGAGUUUGGCGCCUUGUUUUAUGUAUUUUGUAAUGGGUUAUAAGGUUUGUGGUCUAGAAUGUGAGUGUGGUUAAUUAUCUAAUCUUGUUGAUCUAUUCCAUGGUUUUUAAUUAAUCAGUCUGUAAUGUUGGUAUUAGUAU
rnacentral:misc_RNA from 1 species